AACUGCUGGUUUAAAGAAGUGAGUCAGUUGAUUUGCUUUCUUCAUCAUACCCAUUAGGGCUGUGUUUUGCUGUGUAGCCCUAGCAAUAAUCUCGGAGUGGUGAAUGGCCUGUAACAUCUUCAAAUAUACUUUUGUUAGGUCUAGAUCCUGAGGGUCAUUUGGAGAAGCCGAGGCAGUUUCCCUAGGGGCUGGCUUGAGUAGAUUUUGUUCCGCAGUCCCACACUUACCCGGGCUAUUUGGUUGAGCCAGCACUUCAAAUCUGUUACUCAGGGGUAAGGACAUGGUGGCUGUGCUGCUAAGAGAUCCGUAGUGAAAAGCAGAGGGUUUGUUAAACAGAUGAUAGUAUAAAAAAUAAAAUUAGGUAAUCAGUCAGUUAAAAUGAAACAAUAAUUAAAUUAAUGAUUAAAUUUCAUUUAAACAGAUCUGGUUAAAUAAAAACCAAAUUAAAUGAGCAUAAGAGAUACUUAAAAGAGGAUACUAAAACAAGGGGGGAACAAAAGGAUUAAAAGAGAAAGGGGUAGGGAAGAUAAGAGAGGAGACAACAGCACACUAGGUUAGCUUAAAAUACUUAGCAAGCACUUACAGUGCAGUAGAAAACAAUAAGGCUCCGUGAUAAUCCUGUAUUACCAAAACAGGGGGACACGUGUGUAAAAAAAAUCAGGAUUCAAAAAUAUCCUUGCAGGGCAAUCAUAAAUAGAAAAUAAAAGAUAUAAAAUAAAUAAAUAAUAAAAAGUCCUUCAGGGUGGGGAAUCCAUCCAAACAGGGGAUGAGUUUUGUUUAAAAUAGUUGAGGUUUGUGUCGAUGCUUGGAUUAGCUGGGGAGAGUUGUGUAGAGUCUUCAAACGUGAUGUUGUAUAAUCUUCUGUGUGCGCACACUCUUUUUCCUGUAGGUUAGUAGACAACACUCACCCAUUUGCUGAUCCAGGCCUGAGACCAGAUCCAGUAGGCCUCAAGCCUCAGUCCUCUGGUUAGACCCUGUUUGUUGAGAAAACCUGUCUGAAGUUAGUCUCUCUCAGAGGAUUAAAGGAAAGAAGGUCCCAACGUUUCGCCUGGAAGGCUUCUUCAGGGGAGCAAGAAGAGAGUGAAGGAUCCAGGCCUCUAUAUUCAUAUAGAUCAAGUCCAUGAGGGUGGAUCCUAGAAAUAAAAGGUUCCAUAUUGGCUCAUGGAGAAAAAGCAGAUUGAUAAAUGGUCCGGAGCUGGUUCAGUGAGAGGAGAGUACAAGUUUUGAAAGGAUAUGAAGGUAAGUAAAGGGAGGGGACAAGGAGGGGUGAGGAAAACACAGCCUAUUAGGACAGGGAGUAUUAUUUGUGAAAAUGUUGAAUUUUUAUAUAUCCCUGAUAUUUUUUUUUCAAUCACAUCAAUAGGUUGUGUUAGGGAUCCUCAACUCUGGAGAUCCUGUUGGACCUGGAUUGGGGGCUCUUCCUCCUGAAAACCGGGAGGGGGGGGGUUUAUAGCUUUACUAGUUAGAGUUGGGUCCUCCAACAUAGUAAUAGGAUUAGGUCAAGGUCAGGUUAGGGUUGGGGCAGGGUCAAGGGUCAAGGGUCAGGUUAGUGUUAGGGCAGGGUCGAGGGUCAGGUUAGGGUUAGGGCAGGGUCCAGGGUCAGGUUAGGGUUAGGGCAGGGGCGGGGGUCAGGUUAGGGUUAGGGCAGGGGCGGGGGUCAGGUUAGGGUUGGGGCAGGGUCGAAGUCAGGUUAGGGUUGGGGCAGGGUCGAGGUCAGGUUAGGGUUAGGGCCUCAGUACAAGUUGAAUGGUUAGGUUUUAGGGAUCAGGUCAUGUAUAGGGUCAGAGUAGGAGUCAGGCGGUUAGGUUGAAGGUCAGGGUCUGUGUAAAAGUAUUAAAAUCAAAAUAGGUUCCAGGGUCUGUUCCAAGUGCAGGUUUUUAAAAAAAAAAAGGGGGGGGGGG